UAGGAACUGGGUUUGGCCUUAAUUCA
rnacentral:piRNA from 1 species